AAUGAAAGUGAGCUCUCCACUCAGCCUGUGGGAAGACCACAAUGGUGGCUGUGGCUACCCACAGCUGGACCAAGACUGGUACCAGAAGUCAUCGCUUGAAGGAAGGGACCUGCCUUCCUCCAGCUCCCAGAAGACAGGGUUUCUCUGUGAAACAGCCUUGGAUGUCCCGGAAAUCACUUUGUAGACCAGACUAGCCUUGAACUCAUUGCCUCCCAAGUAUUGGGAUUGAAGGUUGGCAUCAACUGUCACGUCAACAUAGCCUAUGCUGAUCUGAGAAGGAAACCACAGCUGAGGGAUAGACCUGGUCAGAAUGGCCUAUGGACGCGUCUAAGGGAAAUUGUUUGCUUAAAUCUUCCAAUCAAUGUUGUCUAGAAAAAGUUAUAUCCAAAUUCAACGCCUCCACAGAAGAUCUUACUGAAAACAAAGAACUUGUAAGCCAUACAUAUGUUCCCUGAAAUACAAAUUGCAAUAAAAUCAGAAAAGUAUU
rnacentral:lncRNA from 1 species